AUGAUUUCAAUUUAGACUGCUCUGUUUGAUGCCAUGUGGCAUGGUGGGCAUUUGUUACCAGAACAGGAUACCAGUUGGUCAUCAUUUUGUAAUAAAGAUUAGCAAAUCUGGUCUGUUCUGGUGCUCGCAGAGUCUGCUUGUCAAAUAUGUCAACACUUGCAAUAAUAAAUACAAAUUAAAUGCUAAGUUCUAUCUGUGUCUGUCCACACAUCCAAAUAUGGGAGGGUGGGCAGGAUAGUAUGAAAAGCCAGGUUGAGAGAGAGGCUUGGGAGAGUUGAAUGGACCGUUGAGAUGUAAAGAGAGAAGGAUAUGAGAGACUUAUUCAUUGUGUAUAUAUUUAUUCUCGUAGUGUGUAAAUAAAAUGUAGAGUACA